rnacentral:rRNA from 1 species
UACGUGUGAGGCAAGCGUUAUUCGUCGUUAAUGGGUCUAAAGGGUGCGUAGGCGGCGCGGUAAGUCGGGUGUGAAAUCUCGGGGCUUAACUCCGAAACUGCAUUCGAUACUGCCGUGCUUGAGGACUGGAGAGGAGACUGGAAUUUACGGUGUAGCGGUGAAAUGCGUAGAUAUCGUAAGGAAGACCAGUGGCGAAGGCGGGUCUCUGGACAGUUCCUGACGCUGAGGCACGAAGGCCAGGGGAGCAAACGGG